rnacentral:rRNA from 1 species
AGGAAAAGAAACCAACAGGGAUUGCCCUAGUAACGGCGAGUGAAGCGGCAACAGCUCAAAUUUGAAAUCUGGCGCAAGCCCGAGUUGUAAUUUGUAGAGGAUGCUUCUAGGUAGCGACCGGUCUAAGUUCCUUGGAACAGGACGUCAUAGAGGGUGAGAAUCCCGUAUGUGACCGGCCCGCACCUUCUACGUAGCUCCUUCGACGAGUCGAGUUGUUUGGGAAUGCAGCUCUAAAUGGGAGGUAAAUUUCUUCUAAAGCUAAAUACCGGCCAGAGACCGAUAGCGCACAAGUAGAGUGAUCGAAAGAUGAAAAGCACUUUGGAAAGAGAGUUAAAAAGCACGUGAAAUUGUUGAAAGGGAAGCGCUCACAACCAGACUUCUGGGCGGUGUUCCGCCGGUCUUCUGACCGGUCUACUCACCGUCCCGAGGCCAACAUCAUCUGGGACCGCUGGAUAAGACCUUAGGAAUGUAGCUCCCCCUCGGGGGAGUGUUAUAGCCUGUGGUGAUGCAGCGCGUCUCGGGUGAGGUCCGCGCUUCGGCAAGGAUGUUGGCGUAAUGGUUGUCAGCGGCCCGUCUUGAAACACGGACCAAGGAGUCUAACAUCUAUGCGAGUGUUCGGGUGUCAAACCCCUACGCGUAAUGAAAGUGAACGGAGGUGGGAAGCGUAAGCUGCACCAUCGACCGAUCCUGAUGUCCUCGGAUGGAUUUGAGUAAGAGCAUAGCUGUUGGGACCCGAAAGAUGGUGAACUAUGCCUGAAUAGGGUGAAGCCAGAGGAAACUCUGGUGGAGGCUCGCAGCGGUUCUGACGUGCAAAUCGAUCGUCAAAUUUGGGUAUAGGGGCGAAAGACUAAUCGAACCAU